rnacentral:rRNA from 1 species
GACGAACGCUGGCGGCGUGCCUAAUACAUGCAAGUUGAGCGAUGAAGAUUGGUGCUUGCACCAAUUUGAAGAGCAGCGAACGGGUGAGUAACGCGUGGGGAAUCUGCCUUUGAGCGGGGGACAACAUUUGGAAACGAAUGCUAAUACCGCAUAACAACUUUAAACAUAAGUUUUAAGUUUGAAAGAUGCAAUUGCAUCACUCAAAGAUGAUCCCGCGUUGUAUUAGCUAGUUGGUGAGGUAAAGGCUCACCAAGGCGAUGAUACAUAGCCGACCUGAGAGGGUGAUCGGCCACAUUGGGACUGAGACACGGCCCAAACUCCUACGGGAGGCAGCAGUAGGGAAUAUUCGGCAAUGGACGAAAGUCUGACCGAGCAACGCCGCGUGAGUGAAGAAGGUUUUCGGAUCGUAAAACUCUGUUGGUAGAGAAGAACGUUGGUGAGAGUGGAAAGCUCAUCAAGUGACGGUAACUACCCAGAAAGGGACGGCUAACUACGUG